CACAAAAUUUGAAUAAAUACUAUAUAAAUAUGAUAUUAUAAAUAACAGAAUAUUCAAACACUUCUUGGUUUAAACUGGUGGUAGGACGUAUUGUGAGUCCGCGCGGGUAGGUACCACCGCCCUGCCUAUUUCUGCCGUGAAGCAGUAAUGCGUUUCGGUUUGAAGGGCGGGACAGCCGUUAUAACUAUACUGAGCCCUUAGAACUCAUAUUUCAAGGUGGGUGGCGCAUUUACGAUGUAAAUGUCUAUGGGCUCCAGUAACCACUUAACAACAGGUGGGCUGUGAGCUCGUCGAAUCAUGUAAGCAAAAAAAAACAUUAUUUUUUUUUAAAGAUUUGUUGAAGUAAUAGAAAAUAAACAAGUGCAUGUACGACCACGGACUACGAAGGGUUCUGUAGUUGUGUUGUAGUUUAAACUUAAGUAAGAAAUGAUAUUGAAAUAAAUUGACUAAAAAUUAUUUUGCUACAUAACCCUAAGACUCCCAGUAACUAAAAAUUAGUAUAAGGCUCAGAUCCUUUGACGCGAAUGCCAAAGUAGCGUUCAUUCUUAAUUUAUACUUCGUUUAGGUACAUGAAUGGAAACAUGUCUUUGUAAUUACAUUAUAAACAAACUUUUUGUAAAAUAAUAAUCGCAUUACGGACGCGGAUGAGAGGAAAUUAAAUUCUUUAACUGCGUUGUAAAUAUGACGAGCUUAAUUUCGAUACAUGACGCAGUACAAACAUGACAAUAGACGGUAGCUAACAUACUUAUCAAAUACCCACCCGUGAUUGCACAGUCAUCAUUUCCGCGGCACCGUACUUAAACCACACCCUUCAUUUAAAAGCAAGUUCAUAGUCAUGGGGAUUCAAAGUCGCAAUUGUAAACGGAGACAUGACAUCGAACAGUCCACAUGUUCUCUGUUUUGUCGUUUUAUUGUUUUUACUGCGUUAUGUUACAACGGAAGACCGUGUUCCAACAGACGUCGUAAAUCAAGAACAUAGUACGUAAUAGUAUAUUAAAACACAAUGUGAAUUUUAUGGUUGUUUUCUUCUGUUAGCCGAACCUCAUGUCUCAUUAUAGGCAAGAACAUUACCGCUGUAGCGAUUGUGCCGUAUUCCAUUUGCAUAUACAUGCUGUUUUUUGUUAUUGCUUAAGUGGGCGGACGAGCUCACAACCCACCUGGUGUUAAGUGGUUACUGAAGCCCAUAUACAUCUACAACGUAAAUGCGCCACCCAUGUUGAGAUAUAAGUUCCAAGGUCUCAUUAUAAUUACAACGGCUGCCCACCCUUCAAACCGAAACGCAUUACUGCUUCAUGGCAGAAAUAGGCAGGGCGGUGGUACUUACUCGUGCGUAAUCACAAGAGGUCCCGCCACCAGUACAAGAGGUCCUUCCAGUAGUAGAUACUUCUUCUUCUUCCUAUUCGUACACUCUUGACAAAGUGGUCGUGGUCAUGCAUCAGUCGGAUACAAGAGGUGUUAAAAAAGUAAAUAUCAGUAUGCAUGCAUUUUUUUAUCUAGAUAAAAAUAUUAAAAAAAAAAAUACGUAGUCACAUUUAUUAGUUUGCACAAUCUACAUUUUUUUGUCACUUUUUCCAGCUUACAGGAGUGAAAUAGGAGGAAUUCGUUUUAUUCGCGCAAAACGUCAGAUAGAGAACUUCGACGAUGAAUACCCGACGGCUUCAAACCAGGAUGCACAAGAAGAACCUAGCUUUUGGGAUAGAGUUGUUAAAGUUGCACUUAAAUUAUUUAGCAAAUUUGUUGAGUGGUUAAAUUCUUGAAAACGCAUUCACUACGAGAACACACCUUUGCUUUUUGCUAAUGACUGUUAUUUGUAAUAUACAUUUGGGGAAAUUAAAGUAAAAUUCCCUUAAAAUUAUUUAAAAAA